CAGCGGCGGACCAUUCAUUUUAUCUGCUCACCCUCUCUCAAGGUUCUCUCUCCUCCGUUACUCCGUCAGGGGCAUCUGCUUCAAUCCCCCCACCAUCAGCGUGCACAUCUGGUCUCCUGGAGGACAUUUUUGGGGGUUCAAGUCCAGAUCAGAGACCUAGAGGUCUUGGCAUUCAGAGUGCGCCCGGCGGCGGCGCCAGUGCAGAAGGAAUUCAGCUUCGCUGGGUGGCUGCAAUCAGCUGAGUUGAUCAAGGUGGAUAGCAGCGGCUCGUCUUCUGGCUCUGACAAAGAUAUGAGCUGACUUGAAGAAGAAAUUAAAGAGGGCACGAGUCUGUGCAAUCAGCAGCUGUCUAGUGAUUGUAGAUUCAGACACUGACACGUCUGACAUCUUUUGAUUAUUAAUCUGCUCUUUGAUCAACUAAAAACAGAGUAAUGUGGUAUAUCAACCUCUCUGUUUUUUCUCCGCUUCUUGUUUUCUCAGUAGGCAACAAUACAUUUUAGUAUAUAGCAUUUUACUUCAUUAGAAAAUAAAAAUGAAUAGGAACUUUAGAAAUAAAUAUGGUUCUGCAUUAUCCAAAAAUAUAAUUCAUUAGGCAUUAAUAUGGUUCUGAUUAGGCAAUAAUAUGGUUCUUAACCAGGCAAAAUAGUUUACUUCAUUGGGCAAUGUUUAAUUUAGAAUUUAAGAAUUCAUUUUCAUUGGUUGUCUAAAGUGCAAGGUAAUAUACAACUAUCAGCACUGGUAUUUAACAUAGAACCUAGUUCCUUAGCCUGACCACAUGGGAGUUAAUGCUAUGUGCGCAGUCAUCUUGAGAGUAUAUAUUCAAAAUUCAUUAGGCUAUAAUAUGGACUAAUUUAGGCAGUUAUGUAGUUUUUAAUUAGGCAAUAAUAUGGCACUGAAAAAGUAAUAUAGUUUACUUCAUUAGGUAAUGUUAUUGGACAUGUAAUUUUCAGUAUUUUGUAUAGAGAUUGCAGCAUUCCCACUAGAUCUAAAAGCAAAAACUAUUGUUCAGUUUUUGAAGCAUGAUCUGAACUAUUAUCACAAAGAAAUAGGAGCAUUCCUACUAGAUCCCAUAUGUUGCUCUUUUCAUUAGACAUGUACUUCCUUUUUUCUUUAUUGGAUUGGGGGGUAGGGGUAUCAGGCUCUUUGGCAAACAUUCGUGACAUCAUGGAUAAAUUUAAUUCACACUGUCAUAUUUUUAUUUUCAAGGGCGCUUCCUAUUUUCUUUUAAAAAACUAAAAUCUGGUUGUUAGACUAUGCAGCCUUGUUUUCUUUUUCUAUACACAUUAUGCAGCUAGCCUACUCGGCUCUUUUCCUCUUAUUGUGGCAGUAUUUGUGCUAGAUCCUACAAUUUUUUAUGAUACAAGCAUCAUUGGUUUUUUAUUUGGUAAUAAUAUAUAUAGGAAUUAGGCAAUAAUAUUGUUUCAGAUAGGCAACAAUAUGUGUUAAAAUAAGUAAUUUUUUGAUAAAAGGUUACAUGCGGAUUCUUAAUGCCGCUAGUAACAGGAACAACAACAGUUCGUUCAAUAUGUAUGUGCAAUAGGAUACUAAACUCAUUUUAAUUAGGUCUAGUAACAGGAACAACAGCCGUUUGUUUAAUUAUUCAUUAGGAAAAAUAUACUACUAAAUUAGGCAACUUAUGCUACAUCAAUAAGCAAUUUAUCAACUGUAGUUCAACAUUUCUAUAUUCUGGUUCUAGCAUUCUUUUCAUAUGUCGCUGAAUUUUGCUAUUUUGGUGUACUGAUUAAUUUCUAAAAAAAGUCAGUUUGUAUUUGCUUUGCAAAAUGGUGCGGCCGCUGCGACGCGAGGCAGCUCGUGCAUCCACAUGCAGUAUGCCCUUAAAACCAAAUCUGUUCCUAUCAUUCCUAAUAUUUUCAUGCAUUUUCAUGUUGGUCUUUAGCAGAAGGCAAAUUUAUAUAUUUUGUUAGGCAAUAAUACUUGUUAGCAGAGACAAAUUCAUGCAUCUGGUUAGACAACUUUAAUUUAUCAUACUUUUUUACAUCUAAAGCAUUUUACCCUGUUAUGCUAUUAUGUGAUUUCUGAAUUAGGCAAUAAUUAUUUCAGCAGAAGGCAAAUUUAUGUAUUACAUUAGGCAACUUCAUUAAAUAAUCCAUUAUUUUUGCCUGCUUGUUUCUUUUAAAUUGCUCCUAAGUUUAUUAUAAUAUGCCUACAAGCAAGAAUGCUUAUUGUUAUAAAGUAUCAUCAAAACAUAUAGUUGAGCAAAAUGUUCUGUUCAUUCAUCAUGGGAGUUUAUCUAUGCUAAUACACCACUUUUAACUGUUCUCUAUCCUGAUUGUCGUGGUGUGGAAGACCACAGCCGGGUGGCGGAUUGCACACGCCUAAUCCUAAGUGUAGGAUGAGCUUGGGGGCAGUCAAGGAGUGCUCGAUCUAGAGGCGAAUGAAUGUGAGAAUCACACAAGGAUUUAGAGUGGUUCGGGCUGCCGGAGCGUAAUACCCUACAUCCACUGUGUGUUGUAUUGCCUGACCCCCGAGUGUGCUCUCUGAGCCAGAGAGGGAGGAUAUGUUCAGAGUGUUCUGAGAGUUGUGACUCAGUUGUCCUGGUUUUGUUGACUUGAACCUCCUUUUCUACCGUAAGUGCUCUCCCUUUUAUAAGCCCAAGGGGAGCAGUACACUGAGCGGGACCCCAACAGGUGGGCCUGGUGAUGUAUUAUAAACUACACUUUGGCCUUCAAUGCCUCAGAUCCGGAGAUCUUGUCGUCGGCUUCCGUGCGUAGCUUCUGACCAGGGAUGGUCUUGAGCUGUCCUGUCGGAGUAGAGUCUAGCCUCUUGAGCCGCGCGUCGAGGUCAUGAUGAAGCGCUGAACUACUAACUCAGUCCGCUGUAGCAGCGUGCACUGUUGCUCCAGUUAGUAGCUGGUCAUCAUGGCUCAUCGCCUACGCGCGCAGCGCUGAGACACUGCUAUGUGCCUCGGUAAUAGACGAGCCGCCUUGGAAAUAGGCGGGCUUACCAUGUUGUCAUGUCACGCUUGUCCAACUCGUGAGUGGGUAUCCGAUGCCCUGCUCUGGCAGUGCACGCCCCAACCACCAGCAUUUAAUGCGGCAGGAGGGUUGGCUUCAGGUAGAAGACUCGUGCCUGUGGGACACGUGGCGGCACCGGACCCGGGGGUCGGCGGCCGCGCCCACAGGGGCACGUGGCGGUUCCAGACCCCUGCCCAAGCGGGGAGCGGAGGUCCAGAGGUCGGCCCUGUGGGACACGUGGCGGCGCCGGAUCCUGGGGUCGGCGGCCGCGCCCACAGGGGCUUGCGAGGGCUCCGGACUCCUACCCAAAUUGGGUGCUGGGUCUAGGUCCCUUGGCUGGCUCGAUGACUCAAGCCUCCUGGAGGUCCGGCUUGCACUUGUAGAGGCCCAGGUCCGGCCCGCGGUGGUUCGGGACCUGUCCGCAGGGCUCCGGACCCGUGGUCCGUAGUUGCCGCUCCUGAGCGUCUUCAUUCUUGUCUUGUAGGAGAGGGUAUUCCUGUCUGAGUGUACCGACAGUGGCCCCCGGGCCCACCUGCGGGUGAGGUAUUAACCCGCAGGUCGGGCCAAAUCCAUGUCGUGGUUGACGCCUGCUCGGACGGACCGCGCCGGUGUUCUCCGCGGGGGAAUUCUUCCCCUGCAACGCUAGUAGCUGGCGCUGCCGGUCUCCAGGUACUCUGUCCCCCCGUCCUGUACACAACUUAGGACUGGCGUUUAGUAACAUACCCACGUGGUCCCAAAUCCUGUUGGCAGAGGUCCUUUGAGAUACGCAGCCGGACUUGUGGAACAGAGCUUAGGAGGCCAGCCCUCAAGCUAGAAUAAGGUCCGGACCUCUAGGUACGCAGUUCCGGGUACUAGGGCACCUGUUACAGAGUGGUGGAGUGCACAGGCUUAGGGUACGGAACUAGGCUAAGCGGCUGCAUAGGGCUCCAGACCACCCCCAGGAAUAAGUACCUCUUCCCCGAAGCAGGUUCCUAAGGACCCGGACCCCCCUCUAGCAGUGAGGGGGUCCCAAACUGAACCACAUGCUGGCCGACUCAAUUCGGACACAGGAGUGGGAACCACGCGGGGGUUAGCGCAAAGAGAAUGCGUAGAUUGAAAUUGGAAUGUAACAUCCUUAGAGGCGAACUGAGAAUAAACUUUUCCUUUAUAACUAGUUGUACAUGAGAUGUGUGAUGUAAGCCAGAACACGGGUUUAUGAGGCCGGAGCUGUCCGGACCUUCGGACCCCCAGUCUUAGGUACUACGGUACUCGCCCUAGGGAUGUAGAGCAUGCAGGCUUAUGGUAUGGAACCAGGCCAAGUGGCUACACGGCUCCGGACCUCCCCGGAGGGUGAGUACGCUUCCCUGAACCUGGUUCGCAGAGGUCCGGAUCCCUCCACGGGGGAGGCUCACCGGACUGGACCACACGGAAGUACUACCUAGUUACAAAGGAAAAGGUUUUAUUCCCUGCUGGGCCUCUAAGUGUAGGACUUACAAAGAUGUAGAGUCGGAGGUGCGACCGGAGUCGGCUUAUCAUCGGAGAGAGCCACCAGAGUUGGCUUAGUGCGACCCGAGUGGGCUUAGUGCGACCGGAGUCGGCUUAUUCCACCCAUACAGCCAAUAGCCGAGCGGGUGGAACCAUUUGCAGGGUCCGAGCUGGUGUGUGUAUUUGCUUGCAUGAGUCUGGCAUGCUUCGCAGGACUCACCAGCUCAGCUGCAUCCUGAAGGCUGAAAGUGAUCUAGGCCCCUAAGUGGGUUUUGGUGAAUAAUGACAAAACACAUAUAUAUUUAAUUGUGUAAUUGAGCAUGUGUGCAGGUGAUGAAUAUAUAUAGGUGAAUCAAGUGAUGACGUAUGGCCCCCCAAAAAGAAAAUGAAAAGGCGGUGUUUAAGUGUACUCAUGAUAUUAGAUGUUGUAUUUGAAAUUUGAGUAUAGGGACGCUGUACUAUCAAGAGAGACUUGAUUCAAGGGUUUCGAUUUAAAUCUUGUGCUCAAGAGAACCUAGACAAACACCUGUGAGCCACAAAAUACACUCAAAAGAGCAAAACAUGAGCUUUCAUCCUGCCUAACCCGGAUACUCUGGGUAUAGGGCCGGAUACUCCGGACCCCUUUGCCCGGAGUGUGCGGGUGCUGUUCACGAGCUGAAAAAUUAGGGUUGCCCGGAGUCUCCGGGUAACUGUUCGCCCAACGGCUAUUUUUGGGUCAAGAGGUAUAAAUACUCCCUCCCCUCCUUCAGUUCACUCUCUCUUGCCAUUCUUUCGAGCUGAACUCCUCCUAAAGCCAAAAGAGAGCUCUCUCACUCCCCUCUCUUCAUUCUUGAGUGAUUCUUUUGAGGGAUUUGAGUGAGAAGCAAGCAAGAGUAAGGAUUCGUGCUAGUGAGCCUCAUUUCCACCUCUUGAGCACUUGGUUUUGGUCAAGCCCGCGGAUUCGAGUUUGUUACUCUUGGAGCCUUGUGCUCCUAGACGGCUAGGCGUGCUUGUGACUGCUCAAUCAAUGUUGUGAGCUGCACAAGAAAUUUGUAAGCUCCAUUCCUCGCCGAGGAAUCCAUAGUAAGCCUUGGGCUUGAGAGGCGAUCUCGCCCUUGGGAGAGGAGCAUAGGGGUUAUUGAGCUCUGUCUCUCGAAUCCUUCCUCAACGGAGACGUAGCACCUUCGGGUGUGAACUUCAGAAAAUAAAUUCUUGUCUCUUUCAUGUUAAUUUACUUGAUUUCAUUGCUAUUUGCUUGUGAGACUUCUUUUCUAGGGUUUGAGCUCGAUCUACUCACUCACGAGUUUCUAGUGAGUUUUGUUUGUUGGAUAUCAACCUUAAGGAACCCCUAGUACUCGUACUUUAGCUCGAUCUGCUUUUCAUACAUAGAUUCCUGCAGUUUUUUUUCAGUUUGUUCAUACCCGGAGACUCUGGUUAUAGUUCCGGAUACUCCGGACCACAAAACCCGCAGUAUCCGGGCUUAUACCCGGAGUAUCCGGGCUGAGUCUACGUCUGACAGUUUUUAAGUGUCUUUGAGUUGCAGAUUGCCGAUUCACACCCCCUCUAGGCAUCUUAAGAUCCUUUCAAAGGCGAAGUUGGCCGGUAAAAGCCACGCCAGAAGGCUUUUCCAACCUGUGUGCGGGAUACCUCGGAGGAUGACUUCCGCACUCGCCUCCUCCGAGCAGCUCGCAGCCCUCCUCCUAGGUGAUGCACCGCGUGAAGAUACGAUUGGCGCCACGGCGGACCGUGUGUCACCUAGCCAACCACACUAUGUACUCAACGGAUACAUAUCUUCAGGAAGGAUCUUGUCUUUCAGGUGGUCCCGGAUCUCGGAGAUCCGUGCAUCGGGACCUCCCUGAGCAUCUUGGAUGUGGCACCUCGAGGUCUUACCGAAUCUCAGAGAUCCAUGCAUCAGGGUUCUCAAUGGCGCCCACAAUCCUUGGCGGACCCCCUAGAUGGAGCACCGCCAGGACCGCUAGCUUCGAGGUGCUAGUCCGACCCCCUUCACCCAGUUCGGCAGGCUAGGCGGAUGGUCCCAGCAGCCGUCUUUCACGGACGCCCUCAGACACGGGUGCCUGAGUUGAUGCCCUCACGGAGAGGUCAUCUACUGCUGGGGAACAUGCACGGGGAGCAUGUUUGAGCUCCAGUGCGUCGAAGUCUGGGACUUCUGGCUUUUUUUUGGGUCGGGACCCGGCCGGACCCCUGAGGUAGGGCCGCUUGUUGUCUUUUGUGAUGGCUGGGCCAUCACGUUCCGCUUGGGGGGACCGUUGGGACCUCCUGCAUAGGUUGCUCGGACCUCUCAGCGACCAUCAGUAUGUUGAUCGCCUUCGUGGUCGCUGGAGGCUUGUUCACGCCGCUUGCUGACGUGCUUCGCGAGCUUCUGGAUCUCGUAGCAUUCGGAGGCACUGUGGUGGCUCCGGGGGUGAACAGGGCACGGCUCGUUGUCGCGGCCCUGCUGGCGCGUGCGUUUGCCGCGCGAGUUCCGGCCCCCGGGCGCUAUGGCAGCAACCGGGGUGCCAGAUUGCCUCAUCGUGGCUUUCCUCAUCGUCGCUGCUGUGAGCAGCGGAACCCGGACCACCCGUCUGGGCAGCCCGAGCUUGAGGGGCUGAGUGCCAUGCACCGCCCUCAGCGGCCCUGGCACACUUGUCCGCCAAGGCGAAUAGGGUGGUGACAGAUUCCACCUGAUGUACGGCCAGCUUCUCCAGUAUCUUCUGGUCACGGACCCCCUGGUGGAAGGCAGUGAUAAUGGAUGCAUUUGAAAUACGUGGAAUGAUUUCGCGUACCUUGGAGAAGCGGGAGAUGAAAGCCCGCAGAGUUUCUCCGGGUUGUUGCCUCACGGCAUGGAGGUGGGCCUCCACGCCAUGCAGCCGGUACGCGCAGGCGAAGUUCGCCGUGAACUAUGCGCAGAGCUCCUCCCAGGACUGGAUCGACCCGGGAGAGAGGUUAAUGAGCCAAGUCCGGGCUGGCCCGGUCAAGGCAACGUGGAAGUAACUCGCCAUGACGGCGUGGUUACCCCCAGCCGCGGUGAUGGCAGUGAUGUAGACUUGCAGGAACUCCGAUGGGUUGGUCGUCCCGUCGUACUUCUCCGGCAGGUGCGGCCAGAACUUGGGUGGCCAGGCCUCCAUGCGGAGAUGCUCCGCGAGCGCGACGCAGCCCACACCAGCCACCGGGGUCUGGAUAUGACCCUGGGACCUUGGUGCCGCCGUGCCGAGAUCGGCAUCGAGGUUCCGACCCUCGAUGUUGAGCCGGCAUUAGACGGCAAGAGGCCUGCGGCGCGGGUGUUGCCACGUCCUCCCCCAUCGGGUGGUCAUGGGACUCGACAAUCCGAGCCAUGGAGAUGCCAAGUGGGCGAUCAAGCGGAAACCAAGCUAGCUCCCUACCUGGCGCGCCAAAUGUCGUGGUGUGGAAGACCACAGCCGGGUGGCGGAUUACACCCGCCUAAUCCUAAGUGUAGGAUGAGCUUGGCGGCAGUUAAGGAGUGCUCGAUCUAGAGGCGAAUGAAUACGAGAAGCACACAAGGAUUUAGAGUGGUUCGGGCCGCUGGAGCGUAAUACACUACAUCCACUGUGUGUUGUAUUGCCUGACCCCCGAGUGUGCUCUCUGAGCCUGAGAGGGAGGAUAUGUUCAGAGUGUUCUGAGAGUUGUGACUCAGUUGUCCUGGUUUUGUGGACUUGAACCUCAUUUUCUACCGUGCGUGCUCUACCUUUUAUAAGCCCAAGGGAAGCAGUACACUGAGCGGGACCCCGACAGGUGGGCCCGGUGAUGUAUUAUAAACUACACUUUGGCCUUCAAUGCAUUAGAUCCAGAGAACUUGUCGUCGGCUUCUGUGCGUAGCUUCUGACCAGGGAUGGUCUUGAGCUGUCUUAUCGGAAGCCUCUGGAGCCGCGCGUCGAGGUCAUGAUGAAGCGCCGAACUACUGACUCAGUCCGCUGUAGCAGCGUGCACUGUUGCUCCAGUUAGUAGCUGGUCAUUAUGACUCGUCGCCCACGCACGCGGUGCUGAGACACUGCUUCGUGCCUCGGUAACAGACGAGCCGCCUUGGAAACAGGCGGGCUUACCGUGUUGUCAUGUCACGCCUGUCCAACCCGUGAGUGGGUAUCUGAUGCCCUGCUCUGGCAGUGCACGCCCCAAUCACCAGCAUUUAAUGCGGCAGGAGGGCUAGCUUCAGGCAGAAGACUCGUGCCUGUGGGACACGUGGCGGCACCGGACCCGGGGGUCGGCGGCCGCGCCCACAGGGGCACGUGGCGGUUCCGAACCCCUGCCCAAGCGGGGAGCGGAGGUCCGGAGGUCGGCCCUGUGGGACACGUGGCUGCGCCGGACCCUGGGGUCGGCGGCCGCGCCCACAGGGGCUUGCGAGGGCUCCGGACUCCUACCCAAAUAGGGUGUUGGGUCCGGGUCCCUUGGCUGGCUCGAUGACUCAGUCCUCCUGGAGGUCCGGCUUCCACUUGUAGAGGCCCAGGUCCGGCCCGCGGAGGUUCGGGACCUGUCCGCGGGGGUCCGGACCCGUGGUCCGUGGUUGCCGCUCCUGAGCAUCUUCGUUUUUGUCUUGUAGGAGAGGGUACUCCUGUCUGAGUGUAUCGACACUGAUACUAUGAAAUAAUAUGGUUCAUGAUAGGCAAAAUAGUGUACUUCAUUAGGUAAUCUUUUAUCGAGCAUUUCAUAAUUUUUCUUUUAUUGGCAGCCUUGAGUAAUAUGUUACAUACAACUACUAGUAUCUCUGCAGUUGACAAAAUGAGGAGAAGAUGCAGCUUCAUGGGUGAACAAGAACUGAAAUAACGCUAUACUUAGCUGCCAGUGUGUUUUGUAGGGUAGCAUCCUCUAGAUUGAUGCAUAAUUGGUCCCAAAUUCCAUUCUGAAUCCACAAUGUUUUAGUUUCACUACAAAGAUUCAAAAUGGGCUCUACAUGCCCUUCCUCAUCACCUAGUAGUGCAGCAUCAGCGCGACACUAUACAUUCAUAAGAGAAAUGUAACAAUUUUGAGGUUUGGCAAAUCAAUAUAUUAUCUAUGCAAUUUUUGUUGCUUCC